AAUAUUGGACAAUGGUGGCAACCCUGCUCCAGCCAUGCCGCGUCUGUGAAGAAGGCCUUCGGAUAGUAAAGCACUUUAAGUUGGGCGGAAGGACAGAACGUUAAUACCUUGCUCUUUUGACGUCACUGACAGAAUAAGCACCGGCUAACUUCGUGCCAGCAGCCGCGGUAAUACGAAGGGUGCAAGCGUUAAUCGGAAUUACUGGGCGUAAAGCGCGCGUAGGUGGUUUGUUAAGUUGGAAGUGAAAGCCCCGGGCUCAACCUGGGAACUGCUUUCAAAACUGGCAAGCUAGAGUAUGGCAGAGGGUGGUGGAAUUUCCUGUGUAGCGGUGAAAUGCGUAGAUAUAGGAAGGAACACCAGUGGCGAAGGCGACUACCUGGACUGAUACUGACACUGAGGUGCGAAAGCGUGGGGAGCAAAC
rnacentral:rRNA from 1 species